GCCAGAGUGGCGAAAUUGGUAGACGCAGCGGAUUCAAAAUCCGCCGGUAGCAAUACUGUGCCGGUUCAAGUCCGGCCUCUGGUACCA
rnacentral:tRNA from 6 species